rnacentral:lncRNA from 1 species
AUUUAUUUGGGUUGUAAUAAGACCUUAACAGUUGAGACUUGUUUAAAUGUAACCAUGUGCCAUAGAACUUUAUAACCAUAUGUAAACAUGUAUAAAUGAAUGUGGACUUGGAAUAUUUGUCCAUGAAGAUUAAUCAAGAGUUGUGGCAAAUUCUUGCUAUAGGAGGAAGGGCAUGCAAAUAAGGAGGGGGAUUUCAAAUUCAAACUUCAUUCUUCUCCAAUAAGGAGCGUGUAGUAGAUACAAAGUUACCAUAUGAAAAUCAAAGUCGUGUGCCCAUCAUUAAAUAAAGAGGAAUUCUUUCCAUAUUCGAAAGGUGGUAUAAUUGAGACCUUGCCAUAUGAAGCCAAGACCGCGAAUCAUCAUCAAAUCAAGAGGAAUUCUUUCCACAUUCAAAAUGCGGUAUAAUUGAGACUUUUCAUAUGAAGCCAAAGUCUUGAAUUAUUAUCAAAUCAAGCGGAUUUCUUUCCAUAUUCAAAUAAGGAAUGAAUGAAACUUACCAAAAGAGAAAUAUAGGUCGUGUAAUCAUCAUCAAAGCAAAGGGGAUUCUUUCCAUACCAAGCUAGGCUUGGAAACCAAGUAUUCACAUUUAAAAAACUUACCAUACAUGCACUAGGUGGAUCAUAUCCUUUCCAUAAUGGUAGCCUCGGGUCAAAUUUGCAUUCAAAGAAGAAUUCAUUGGUACACAACUUUCCAUUCCUAGAAUACAUUGUACCUAGCCUAUGCUUUAGUUUUGGCUGAGAAAAGUAGUAGGAAAAUCACUCAUUAAUGUAUUUUAAUUCCUAUUAGCAUGUGGAGCUACAUGUUGGCCAACUACCACUAUUUGUAAGUACGAAACUUGUGGCGGACUCUAUUGGCUUAUUAAGCACGAAA